GCUUGAGACCACAACAAAGGAUCCCUGAAGGGAGUACACCACCAACAUGACUGAAAUUCUGUGUGGCUUCAUCUAAGUCAGUUCUCCCUGGCCUUCCUACCACCACCAGCUGUAUUCCUACUUUCUUCCAGGUGCCAGAAACUUAAUAUUGAAUUUCCCAGCUUCCUGAACUAAAAUCCUAUUGCUAACCAGAGUUGCAACAAGCCGACACAGGAUAGAAGAAAUAAAGAUAGGCAGAAAAGAAGACAAGGAAAAUUGUUCCAUCUUAAAGACUGGCAUCCUGCAAAUGUCAAGUGACCAUCCAGCGAUAUCAAAGAAAAAGGUUUAAAGCCUGGCAUUCCCCUACUGGCCUCUGGCCAGGCCACUCGAGAACCCGCGCGCCAAGGUUGGAGAGAAGUUUCUAAGCACUUUAUAAACUGGCUCUCCGCCGGACAACAAGAAGUAAAGACCUCCAGACAGCCUAAAGGCUCACCAUUUUCUAUUUCAUGACAAGGAGGCCACGCGGCAAGUGCCUCUAAUCCCCACUCCAAACAUCAGAAUACAGCCAGGCUCCACUUCGCAAAGUGUGUUCCUAAGACAAGAAAGCUCGAUUUUUAGGGGACUUGCUCCCAACCGAUUCCACAUCUAAAAGGUCUUUCAGGAGCAGGGAAGAGAGGUCGGAACUCGGUCAAGCGUUCACCCUCCCCGCUCUCCCGCAGUCCCAGCCGUCCAAGAACCAGGCGCGCCCAGCAGAACUCCGCGCGGACCAC